CGCCUCCCUCCUCCACCCACACCGCUUCCCCUCAAGCAGGCACGGGCUGAGGGCGGGCUCGCUGCCUCUCCACUCGCCAGCCUUUUUCUCUACGCUCGCCCCCAAGCGACGCGGGUCUGGAGCGGCUGAACGUGAGGAAAAGGGCACGGAGCAGGACAGGCGAGUCAGUAUGUGGCGUGCUGUGAAAGACUUGAGGAGAGCUGGGCUCACGUUCACAAGAGCUUGCCGAGGUCGUUGUGAGGAGUUCCCUGGAAUUUGGACUGGUGACAAAAAGCUUACAAGACUUAGGAGCAAGUGAAGGACCAUCUACUCACAUAUGAUCCUGUAUCAGAUGCCCAGUUCCAGGUAUCCGCUUCUGGGUCGUAAGUUUACAGGUUAACAGGAGUUUUUCUUGGCUGAUCAAUUUUUGACCAUUAAAAAUUAAUGGCGCAAAGAGAACUCUGGAGGAGCAGCAGAAGCUUUGAAAGCAAUUGUACAAACUGAAAGAAUGGCAGUGGUGUACUCUUUACAAAAGCCUGAAAUACUGAUGCAGCCCUUUAAUUAUCAUUUGAUUUCGCUGUCAUUGGUGCUGAGCACCUCAUACAACCCUGGCCACAUAUUUUGCAAAGCUACAGAUAUGCCGAGUCUUUUGCGGUGUGAUGAGUAACCUGAUUUUCCAGUGUCUUUGUGCGAAAACAGAGCUAUAUACUUAUAUCGAGAGAACAUAUGCAUGCUGU